CUCGCUUCCUCUGCAAGUAGGCCCACCACUGAACGACCACCUCCCACGUUAUCUUAUCUCUUCAGGAACAACGCCAACCGCUCAUAGCGCAUCUCGUCUACAUCGCAACCUCCGAUCUUUCCCUUUUCUUUCUCUCUGUAGAUGCUCGCGCCUCCCCCACCGGCAACUGGCUGUGCCGCCAGCCAUGGCCAUCGCGCCUCCCCCACCGGCGACUGGCUGUGCCGCCAACCAUGGCCACCGCGCUUCCCCACCGUGGCUGCCCCCACCCCGCCCCCUCACUCCCCACCAGUGACUAGUGCUGCCAACCAAUCCCCACCAGCGCUGCCGAUGGCGGCGACAAGUGAUGGAGAGCCGCGGCGGCCGGCGUUGGAGCGUUGCAACCACGGCGACAAGUGAUGGAGAUCCGGCCUUUCUUUUCUUGGAAGCAGCCCCAGUUUUUGCUACCAACGCCCUUGCCUUUUGCUGGAACUAGUACACGGCGGUACAAGUUAACAACAGCAGCGAGCCGGAGACGGGGGCGGCGAGCCGGAGACGGGGUCGUGGGGGACGCUGCAACCAUGAAUGACAGCGCGCUGGACCCUCCUGUGUGUGAGUUGCGACCAUGGCAAGCGGAGGCAGCCGAGGCAAGUGCCGUGCACGAGCGACGGGCGAGCGGCAAGCGAGCGCGGGUGACGGGCGCAGUGGCAAGUGUGGCAAGCAAGCACGGGAAGACGAGGAGAAGCGCGGGCGGCCGGCGAGCCUCAGGAUCUGGCAUAUGCGCACAAUGCCUUUUUUUCCUUGUUUCCUGUGCGUUUUGACUUUUGAAAUGAAGUAAUCCGAUGGUUGGGAAA